rnacentral:rRNA from 1 species
UCUUUGGAUGAAAGCGGGGGAUCGCAAGACCUCGCGCUAUUGGGGUGGCCGAUGGCGGAUUAGCUAGUUGGUGGGGUAAAGGCUCACCAAGGCGACGAUCCGUAGCUGGUCUGAGAGGACGACCAGCCACACUGGGACUGAGACACGGCCCAGACUCCUACGGGAGGCAGCAGUGGGGAAUUUUGGACAAUGGGCGAAAGCCUGAUCCAGCAAUGCCGCGUGUGUGAAGAAGGCCUUCGGGUUGUAAAGCACUUUUGUCCGGAAAGAAAUCCUUUUCGAUAAUACCGAAGGGGGAUGACGGUACCGGAAGAAUAAGCACCGGCUAACUACGUGCCAGCAGCCGCGGUAAUACGUAGGGUGCGAGCGUUAAUCGGAAUUACUGGGCGUAAAGCGUGCGCAGGCGGUGAUGUAAGACCGAUGUGAAAUCCCCGGGCUUAACCUGGGAACUGCAUUGGUGACUGCAUCGCUGGAGUAUGGCAGAGGGGGGUAGAAUUCCACGUGUAGCAGUGAAAUGCGUAGAGAUGUGGAGGAAUACCGAUGGCGAAGGCAGCCCCCUGGGCCAAUACUGACGCUCA